rnacentral:rRNA from 1 species
GAUGAACGCUGGCGGCGUGCCUAACACAUGCAAGUCGAACGAAGCACUGUCGAAUGAGGAUUCGUCUGAAUUUGGCUUUGACUUAGUGGCGGACGGGUGAGUAAUGCGUGAGCAACCUGCCUUUCAGAGGGGGACAACAGUUGGAAACGACUGCUAAUACCGCAUGACAUAUUGAGAUCGCAUGGUUUUAAUAUUAAAGAUUUAUCGCUGAAAGAUGGGCUCACGUCUGAUUAGUUAGUUGGUGAGGUAACGGCUCACCAAGACUGCGAUCAGUAGCCGGACUGAGAGGUUGAACGGCCACAUUGGGACUGAGAUACGGCCCAGACUCCUACGGGAGGCAGCAGUGGGGAAUAUUGGGCAAUGGGGGCAACCCUGAACCCCAGGCAACGCCG